UUGCCAAUGACAGUGAAGACCCCAAGAACAACAUUCCCAGAUAUUUGAAUGACCUUUAUACCCUCGAGCUGCGUCCGGGCUCCAGCGUUGUGGGCUGGGAUAUACCGGUCACAUACGGUGUACUGCCUCCUCCAAGAGAGAGCCACACUGCUGUAGUUUAUACUGAAAAAGCUACUAAGAAGUCCCGUCUUGUUAUAUACGGAGGAAUGAGUGGUUGCCGUUUGGGAGAUCUUUGGACGUUAGAUAUUGAUACACUGACCUGGAACAAGCCAGCAAUAAGCGGCACAGCUCCCCUCCCCCGUAGCCUCCACUCAGCCACCACUAUUACAAACAAAAUGUAUGUUUUUGGUGGCUGGGUUCCUUUGGUGAUGGAUGAUGUGAAGGUGGCCACGCAUGAGAAGGAAUGGAAGUGUACAAACACACUGGCCUGCCUGA